rnacentral:rRNA from 1 species
AGUGAACGCUGGCGGUAGGCCUAACACAUGCAAGUCGAACGGCAGCACAGUAAGAGCUUGCUCUUACGGGUGGCGAGUGGCGGACGGGUGAGGAAUACAUCGGAAUCUACUUUUUCGUGGGGGAGAACGUAGGGAAACUAACGCUAAUACCGCAUACGACCUACGGGUGAAAGCAGGGGAUCUUCGGACCUUGCGCGAUUGAAUGAGCCGAUGUCGGAUUAGCUAGUUGGCGGGGUAAAGGCCCACCAAGGCGACGAUCCGUAGCUGGUCUGAGAGGAUGAUCAGCCACACUGGAACUGAGACACGGUCCGGACUCCUACGGGAGGCAGCAGUGGGGAAUAUUAGACAAUGGGCGCAAGCCUGAUCCAGCCAUACCGCGUGGGUGAAGAAGGCCUUCGGGUUUUAAAGCCCUUUUGUUGGGAAAGAAAAGCAGCAGGUUAAUACCCCGCUGUUCUGACGGUACCCAAAGAAUAAGCACCGGCUAACUUCGUG